AUAUUUUAGAGAUAAAUCAUUUAUAAAAAACCAUUAAAAAUUACUUUCAAAUCCACUUUAUAAAACCUUUAAAAAAUUUUAACCAUCUAAAUAAGUUUAUUGUAACCCACCUCCACUAAUAUAUUGCUGCAUCUUGAUCUGAAUUCAUUCUUAAUUAAGAACAUUGACCAUUAAUAAUUCUUUUAAAAAAAUCAACCACGACGAUAUACAAGCUAUAAAAUAUUGUAUUAGUAAAUCUAAUCGUGGACUAUCAAUUACGGGACAGGUUCCUCUGAAAAGAUUAAAAUACCGCCAAAUUCUUUUGUUUUCAAGAAAAUAACUAAUACUAACCCGGUAAAAUAUUUACAUAUAAAA
rnacentral:rRNA from 1 species